rnacentral:tRNA from 1 species
CAUAAGAUGUCCGAGAUUAGGUGUUAGUUUGUAAAACUAAUUACGAGGGGCUUUCCUCUCUUAUGA